GUUCAGCAGAAGAGUCUCAAAUAGGAUGAAACGCACAUCCUGGAU
rnacentral:hammerhead_ribozyme from 1 species